GAUGAACGCUAGCUACAGGCUUAACACAUGCAAGUCGAGGGGAAACGAUGAGAGAGCUUGCUCUCUUAGUCGUCGACCGGCGCACGGGUGAGUAACGCGUAUCCAACCUGCCUCUGACCAAGGGAUAACCCGUCGAAAGUCGGACUAAUACCUUAUGCAGUCGUCGGAAGUCAUCUGAUGACGACGAAAGAUUUCAUCGGUGAGAGAUGGGGAUGCGUCUGAUUAGCUUGUUGGCGGGGUAACGGCCCACCAAGGCGACGAUCAGUAGGGGUUCUGAGAGGAAGGUCCCCCACAUUGGAACUGGGACACGGUCCAAACUCCUACGGGAGGCAGCAGUGAGGAAUAUUGGUCAGUGGGCGUAAGCCUGAACCAGCCAAGUAGCGUGCAGGAUGACGGCCCUAUGGGUUGUAAACUGCUUUUAUGCGGGGAUAAAGUGAGGGACGUGUCCUUCAUUGCAGGUACCGCAUGAAUAAGGACCGGCUAAUUCCGUG
rnacentral:rRNA from 1 species